AAGUCGUAACAAGGUUUCCGUAGGUGAACCUGCGGAAGGAUCAUCAUUGAUAUAUAAUUUGUGGUGGUGGGGUGCGCAUUUGUUUGUGUGCCCCGCGCCAUUUCCGACCGAGCACGAGUGAGAAAACCAAAUGGAGAGAUUUGGGCGGAGCAACAGUUUUUUUAGGAUUUCGGGUUUUGUUGGGCCAGGCUUUUGUUGGACCAGACUUUUGUGUUUGGUCCAGCAAUGUGCCCCUCAGCAAUGCGCGGCCCUCCGACAAGACGACGCCCAGACUCUCCUACAAACCAAUAACCCCUAUUGUUGCUGUAACCUUUAAAGUAUAUAUUAUUAACAAAUACAACUUUCAACAAUGGAUCUCUUGGCUCUU
rnacentral:misc_RNA from 1 species